rnacentral:rRNA from 1 species
GACGUAGGAGGCGAGCGUUGUCCGGAUUCAUUGGGCGUAAAGAGCGCGCAGGCGGCUUGGUAAGUCGGAUGUGAAAACCCGAGGCUCAACCUCGGGCGUGCAUCCGAAACUGCUCGGCUAGAGGUAGGUAGGGGGGAUCGGAAUUCCUGGUGUAGCGGUGAAAUGCGCAGAUAUCAGGAGGAAUACCGGUGGCGAAAGCGACUCUCUGGACGGCAACUGACGCUGAGGCACGAAAGCGUGGGGAGCAAACAGG